CAGCCGCCGCGGUAAUGCGUAGGUGGCAAGCGUUGUCCGGAUUUAUUGGGCGUAAAGCGAGCGCAGGCGGUUAGAUAAGUCUGAAGUUAAAGGCUGUGGCUUAACCAUAGUACGCUUUGGAAACUGUUUAACUUGAGUGCAAGAGGGGAGAGUGGAAUUCCAUGUGUAGCGGUGAAAUGCGUAGAUAUAUGGAGGAACACCGGUGGCGAAAGCGGCUCUCUGGCUUGUAACUGACGCUGAGGCUCGAAAGCGUGGGGAGCAAACAGGAUUAGAUACCCCAGUAGUCCCUGUCUCUUAUACA
rnacentral:rRNA from 1 species